UACGUAGGUGACAAGCGUUGUCCGGAUUUACUGGGCGUAAAGAGCGCGCAGGCGGUCGAUCAAGUCGAGUGUGAAAGCCCCCGGCUCAACUGAGGAGGGUCAUUCGAUACUGAUCGACUCGAAGGCAGGAGAGGGUAGUGGAAUUCCUGGUGUAGCGGUGAAAUGCGCAGAUAUCAGGAGGAACACCGGUGGCGAAGGCGGGUCUCUGGGCCGAUACUGACGCUGAGGAGCGAAAGCGUGGGGAGCGAACAGG
rnacentral:rRNA from 1 species